rnacentral:lncRNA from 1 species
GGCUCUUGUUCUCUGUGGCUGAGGUGCCAGGGAAGGCCGGUUCCGGGCUUCGAGGGAAAGCCUCCCAGGGGCUGUGAGGAUCGUGGACGUGGCCGUGUACUUCUCCCGGGAGGAGUGGGGGUGUCUGCGGCCCGCACGGAGGGUCCUGAACCUGCACGUGACAUAGGAAACCUACAGCCACCUGGGCGCGCUAGGUGAGGCCCAGCAGCCUGGCCAGGACUCUAAUAUGUGGGAAGCAGGGACUGAUGCGCCCAGAGGUGGUGGGGUUGGAAGUGUGGAGCACUGAGCAAGGGGCCUCAGCUGUCUUUUUGGUGUUCGGCCCAGCCCAGUAUUUCCUUUUCGGAGGAUUUUCAGGCCCCGGACCCGCCUUUAUCUCUUGGGUGGAAGUGAAAGGAUGAAAAUGCAACCCAACCCUCCCAGAACCCAGGAAGUUAAUAAAAAGCUCUAAAUGCCCCCGAAUUCCAGACCCUGUUUCCUGCCAGCAAAUAGGUAGAAGGUCACACUUCUUGCUGUUCCAGGGCCUGCUAUCCUGGCCUAAGUAAGAUAACAGGAAAUGAGUUGACUAAUCGCUUAUCUGGAUUCUGUAAAACUGACUAGCGCCAUAGAAGAAUUGAUUACACAUUGAAAGCCCUAGUGACUUAUCUCAACUGCAAUCUGUCACUCUGCCGAGGAGCCCACGCAAAUGCGGACCUCCGGAGCUGUUUUAAAAUGAUUGGUCCACGGAGCGCGGGCUCUCGAUGUUUUAAAAUGAUUGGUUUGCAAAGCACGGGCUUUGUUCCUGGGAACCUCCAUAUGCCGAGGGAGCGGCCCAAGAAAUAGCAGCAACAACAACAACAACAACAACAACAGCAAAGAGGAAUGCUGCUUUUAUGUGGAUCAUUCUGAGCUAUCAGGGACUCUAUGAACAAGCUCAGAAAAAGGUUAGAAAAACAUCACAAAGAAAAGAGGCUGGCCAAGGAUGGUUUGAGGGAUGGUUCAACAAGUCCCCAUGGGUGACCACCCUGCUGUCUGCUCUGAUAGGACCCCUAGUGAUAACUGCUCCUGUUGCUUACAGUUGGGCCUUGCUUAAUUAAUCAGUUUGUUGCCUUUGUCAGAGAACGAGUGAGUGCAGUUCAGAUCAUGGUACUUAGACAGCAGUACCAAGGCCUUCCGAGCCAAGGAGAAACUGACCUUUAGCCUUCCCAGUUCUAAGAUUAGAACUAUUAACAAGAGAAGAAGUGGGGAAUGAAAGGAUGAAAAUGCAACCUAACCCUCCCAGAACCCAGGAAGUUAAUAAAAAGCUCUAAAUGCCCCCGAAUUCCAGACACUGUUCCCUGCCAGCAAAUAGGUAGAAGGUCACACUUCUUGCUGUUCCAGGGCCUGCCUUCUGUAUGAAACUAGAUGAAAGAACGUAAAAUAGGCCCUGGAAUGCGUGACCCUGGCCUAAGUAAGACAACAGGAAAUGAGCUGACUAAUCGCUUAUCUGGAUUCUGUAAAACUGACUAGCGCCAUAGAAGAAUUGAUUACACAUUGAAAGCCCUAGUGACCUAUCUCAACUGCAAUCUGUCACUCUGCCCAGGAGCCCGCGCAAAUGCGGACCUCCGGAGCUGUUUUAAAAUGAUUGGUUUGCGAAGCACGGGCUUUGCUGUGAACCCCAUAAAAUCUGUCCCGAUUCCGCACUCGGGGCCGCAGUCCUCUACCCCUGCGUGGCAUACGACUGUGGGCCCCAGUGCGCUUGGAAUAAAAAUCCUCUUGCUGUUUGCA